CUAUCAACAAAGAGAAACAAAUAGAAAUUAUGGAGCUGAAAAAUAAAAUAUCAGAACUUAAAAAUUCACUAGACUUGAUUCAAUAGCAGAUUCUGAUCACAUAGAAGAAUCAGGAGACUUGAAGACAUCAAGUGAGAGCAGGAAAAAAAUAAGAAAAGGGAAGAGAACUUGAGGGACUAAAGGGAUAUUACAAAGUAAACCAAUAUAUGCAAUUGGGAAUUCUGAAGAAGACAUAGAAAAAGGUUCAAAAAGCAUAUUUGAAGAAAUUAUGGCUAGAAAUAUCCUAUAUCUAAGAAAAGAAAUAGACAUACAAAUUCAAAAAGUUUAAAGAAUUCCAAAAAAGAUAAACACACUGGGACACAUUAUAAUCAAUGUGUACAAAGUUUGAAACUCAAUCUUGAAGGCAGCAAAGUAUCUCAUGCAUACAAGAGACUAUGAUAUUAUUGAUGGAUUUCUGAAACCAGAAGGAAUGGGAUAACAUACUCAAAGUUCUGAAAGUAAAAAGUCAAUCAAAAAUUCUAUAUCUAGAAAGGCUAUCAUUCAACAACAAAGGAAGAAUUAAGGGUUUUACAGAUAAAUGAAAGUUGAGGGAGCUUAUUAUUGUUAAACUUGCUUUAUAAGAAAUAUUAAAUUGAGUCCUUCAAGCUAAGAUGAAAGAGUGAUAGAGAAUAAAACUCAUAAGAAAAGAUGAAGCCUUCAACUAAGUGUAAGUAUGUGGAUGAAUAUACUACCCUACAUUAUUUUAAUGUUGUGCAUAGAAUAUAAAUGACCAAAAUUAACAAUAUAUAAAUCCAUGUCAAUGGUUAUAUGAUAUAUGAAGAUGUAGUUUGUGGCAUUAGUAACAAAGUAUAUGAUGGGAAGAGGCAAAAAUAAAUAGUUUUUGUAGACAAUUGAAGCUGUCAUUAGCUUAAAGUAGACAGUUACAACUAUCAGGUGCUUUAUGUAAGCCUCAUGGUAAUCAAAGAAAAUAUCAAAAGAAGUUAUUCAAAAGAAAAAGAAAUCAAAAUAGCCAUCUAUGAGAAAGAGGCCUUCACCAGACCCCAAGCCUGCCAGUGCCUUGAUUUAGAAUUUCUCCGUCUCCAGAACUGUUAGGAAAAAAAUUAAAAAUCUGUUGUUUAUAAAUUACCCAGUCUGAGGUAUUUUGUUGUAACAACACAAAUGGAGUUCUUCAAUUAAUGUUAAUUUUCUUAUGUGAUAUCCA
rnacentral:lncRNA from 1 species